rnacentral:rRNA from 1 species
AUUGAACGCUGGCGGCAUGCUUUACACAUGCAAGUCGAACGGUAACAGGCCUUCGGGUGCUGACGAGUGGCGCACGGGUGCGUAAUGCAUCGGAACGUACCCAGAGGUGGGGGAUAACGCAGCGAAAGCUGUGCUAAUACCGCAUGUGAUCUGAGGAUGAAAGCGGGGGACCGAGCAGCAAUGUUUGGCCUCGCGCCUUUGGAGCGGCCGAUGUCGGAUUAGCUAGUUGGUGGGGUAAAGGCCUACCAAGGCGACGAUCCGUAGCUGGUCUGAGAGGACGACCAGCCACACUGGGACUGAGACACGGCCCAGACUCCUACGGGAGGCAGCAGUGGGGAAUUUUGGACAAAGGGCGCAAGCCUGAUCCAGCAAUGCCGCGUGCGGGAAGAAGGCCUUCGGGUUGUAAACCGCUUUUGGCAGGAACGAAACGGUGUCCGCUAAUACCGGGCGCUAAUGACGGUACCUGCAGAAUAAGCACCGGCUAACUACGUG